ensembl:lncRNA
GUUUUUUUUUUAGUAACGGUACAAACAGUGAAAGGCGGUGGAUUGUCCAGAUGCUGGUCGAUGUGGAAAAAAUAACUGAGUUGUUUGGUAGCUAGCUAACCCGAGCUGGCUGUCUUUUUGACUCAGGGUCAUAGCUGGACUUAUUUUUCGUUUUUAUGAGCCGAUGAGGGUUUUUUUUUUAGUAACGGUACAAACAGUGAAAGGCGGUGGAUUGUCCAGAUGCUGGUCGAUGUGGAAAAAAUAACUGAGUUGUUUGGUAGUCGCUGACGCGGAGCUACAACCGAGGGCAGCU